AAGUCGUAACAAGGUUUCCGUAGGUGAACCUGCGGAAGGAUCAUUAAUACGUAUCCAACGUUAAACCCCCCCUGUGAACUUUUACACUUGCUUCGAAGCGCGCUGGAAUUGCACAGUUCUGGAGUAGCCUAGUUGAGCGAUCGUGCGCAAGUAACCUGGUUUCCCCAAGCAGUCAAUGUCUGAAAGUGUCAUUGAUUGUGUAAGGAUAACGCUUUUCGGUCACUGGAGGUCGACACCGGCCGGUGGACAGGUUGCAGUGGGCUUCACGCCCCCAUAUUAACCCCACUACCUGUAACGGCCUCGUAGGAAACUACUGGGCAACAAACGAACAACUGUUAACAAUGGAUAUCUUGGUUCUC
rnacentral:misc_RNA from 1 species